GAGGAUCCAUUUAACAUCAAGUUGUAAAAUAGUGAACUACUCCUUUAAGUAACCUUUGGUCUUAUGUAACCAUACCAAACAUAACAUAUUAUACUAAUGAGUGGCCGAUCAUUUUAAUUUACUAUAUUACGUCUAGUCUAUGAUACCAGGUUGGAGAACGAAGGAGCAGACAGAAAUUGGCCAUGUGAAACUAUAAUAAAGUAUCCCGUUGAAAUGUCGCAUAGGCCUUAUUAGUAUUCGGCAUCCGUGCUGUUUUAAACUAUUUCUAAAUCACGAUAGUUCCCUUUUAUAGUGGUAUAGAAUCACAGAGGAGAUUCAUUUUAGUAGAGGCGUAGCUACUUACUAAAGCAUCACAGAAAAGAUCAGGAAGACGAGGGUCAAAUUAUCCGACAAAGAAGAUCUUUGGAUGGAGACCACAGAUUUGGGGAAUGGAAACUCUGGGACUGAGUUAAAAUGUCCCGUGAGGAAUAUGGCGACAGUUCCGAUGGAGAAGAGGGCCAUGGCCACCCAGAAACACACCUUGUCAAUCAUCUUCCCGAUCAAUACCCAACUCUCCAUUUCCUAUGGGACAGUUAAUGGUGAGCCAGAAGUGGGGAGACAAGAACCCACACUGUUCUAUCAGGAUUUCUUAACCCUCAGCUCAUCAUGGGCCUGUAUUCAAAGUGUCUCAGUGUAGGCCUUUUAAAAUCAUAAUCACUUAUUUUAUCAUAAGAGCAUGAUCCUAGAUCAGCACGCUUUGUGAAUAUGGGCCUGAACAGAAUGAAUUGAAAUUGACCCAUAACCUGACCUACAUCCCCAGAAUAAAAGCAAUACUUACUGA